UGAGGAAUAUUGGUCAAUGGGGGCAACCCUGAACCAGCCAAGUCGCGUGAAGGAUGAAGGUCUUAUGGAUUGUAAACUUCUUUUAUACAGGAAUAAAUUGGGGGACGUGUCCCCUUUUGCAUGUACUGUAUGAAUAAGGACCGGCUAACUCCGUGCCAGCAGCCGCGGUAAUACGGAGGAUCCGAGCGUUAUCCGGAUUUAUUGGGUUUAAAGGGUGCGCAGGCGGGAUGUUAAGUCGGCGGUGAAAUUUUGCAGCUCAACUGUAAAAGUGCCUUCGAUACUGGCCUCCUUGAGUGUGGAUGAAGUAGGCGGAAUUUGUGGUGUAGCGGUGAAAUGCUUAGAUAUCACGAGGAACUCCGAUUGCGCAGGCAGCUUACUAAGCCACAACUGACGCUCAUGCACGAAGGCGUGGGGAUCAAACA
rnacentral:rRNA from 1 species